rnacentral:lncRNA from 1 species
UAAACUGAUUUUGGUGUUAAAAUUAUUUAUACUGUGUAUUCAGCCUUGAGAGGCUAGGUUGCGAUAAAUUGUCAUGUCAUGCUAGAAUGAAUUUUAUUGAUUGGUGGAUUAUAUAUUAAUUAUUCACUGCAAAGGGGGUUUUGUGGACCAGCCUAUUAGAGGGGCAUGGUAAACUCAAAUAUAUUCUUACCUCGAACGGAGAGGCACGUAGGGUAUCUCCUGGGGUAAAGCUUAGGGUUCACUUCAUGCUAAACCACCACGUGAAGGGAAACUCAGCCAACGCCAAGGAACGACUGUAUUUUUCUCAAACU